rnacentral:misc_RNA from 1 species
GCCAUCUACAAGGAGUCAAUAGAGCUGCGUAUUUUUCUUUGUCCAACAAUAGAGCUCAACGAAGAAGCAAGAAAAUGAAAAUCAGUAUUUUGAAAUCCCAAUUUUACCUCCACGGAUGCAGCACUCUCAGCAACCCAACUGCAAACUUCUCAAUCAAAACCAAAUCCCAUCUCAAAUGUCCCACAACUAUACCAUCAAAACCAUUUUUGCCCACAAAAUUUCUUGUUAAAACCAUGCAUACAGAAAAGGACAUCAUCUUAAACGAGGAGCUUACUCAGGUUUCUCCAAAUGGUAAUUCUUCAAGGUUUGUGGUGGUGGGAGCUGUAUCAGUAGGAUUUCUGUUGUUUUUAAUGGGAAUGGAUGAGCAAUACAAGGCAUUGGCUUUGGGGCCUGAAGGUCCUCUGGUAGAAGAGUUUUGGGACAACGUGAGGAGAUAUGCACUUUAUGCACUCACAGUAAGCACUGGUGCCCUCUACACCAUCUUUCUGCCUAUAGUGGAAUUGCUUAAGAAUCCCAUUUCUGCUGUCCUCAUUCUUCUUAUCUUUGUUGGUAGUAUCUAUCUUGUUUCUCAGGUGCUAUCUGCCAUGGUUGGUGUCUCUGAUUUCACUUAUGAUUAUGGAUAUUAAAUUCAAGAUAUCUUUCUUUCUUCUUAUGUUUUCCCCCCUUUCAAUAAAUUCACGAGCAUAUGCAGAUUCUGAGCAAUUUCCAGCUUUACUCUUUAUUUUUGUGCAUAGAAAGAAUAAACUUAUCCUGUCAAGUAUGGACUUAGCCCAUAAACUUUUUGUCCUACUUAAGCCCCAACUAAUAUAUAGUUGAAUACCUCAGCCCCUAAAUGUAUUUCUUGUGCUAUUUUUAUUUUUAUUUAAUUUUUUCUCAUCUCUUCCCAUCUGAAUUUCUCAUUGACAUUCUCAUUAGUCAUUCCUAAGAUAUUAUAUCCAACUGAAUCAGUUCGUUUUCUUGGAAAUGUGGUGUAGGCAGGCAGUCGGAAACGUGGAAAUUAAUCCAAACAAAAUAAUAGAUUUAAUGGAGUACUUCUAAAAUCAAAUUUUUAUCUAAGUUGUGUUAAAGUCGCCUUUAAAAUUGUAAAAUCUCAAAUUUGUGUUUCGAUGGAAAUUCAUUGUAUUAAAAAAAAAUACUCUUAUUAUUGUAAAGAUUCAAAUUAUGAGAACACUGGAUAAAAUUUGCAGUUAAAAAUUUUUUAGAUGCUUUAAACCCAAAAUUAAUUAAUAAAAACUCCAUGUGUUAAAAAAUCUCCUUGACAAAAAAUUAGAUCUACUGAUUCAUUUGGCCAUUUCUCAUCUCAUCAAUGUCAUGUAUAAGUUUUAAAGACUAGAAACCAUAAGCAAAUAAAAGGUACUCAAAUAUUUUGCCAAUAAAUUACAAAUAAAUUUUGACUCAAUCAUUAGAGGCCCAAUCAUUAAAAAAAAAAAAAGAAAAAGAUAUCGAAGCAUAAGAAAACAAUAUUAAUAUAAUAUAGAAUCUUACAAAAGCUUUGAAGUAAUGAAGGAAUAUAGCCAGAGGGAGAAUGCGAGAGCAUAUUUAUAGCAGAAUUUGUCAAACUUUUAUAAUUAAUUAUUAGUAUUAUUUAGCCUCGGAAAAAUCUCUUCAGAAUUCAUCAAAUUCACCAUUGAAAAUUUUAAUUUUUAAGAAUGAUUUUCCUUUUCUAAUUAAUAACUUUUAAUUUGAAGAAAU